CUGAGUCACCUGAAGAGGAAGUGAUUUGCCACACAGCAAGGUAGUGGAGAGCCAGGAGCAAAGUAUAGGUCUCUCCGCUGCCCCUCUGGUGUCCUCGUGGCACGAGCUCACUUCACUGCUCUGUUCACAGUUCAGACAUCUGGAGCACAACUGUUUGCAGUAUGGAUGAAGAUGUGAGAGGAGAGUUCACCCCUUCACCUAUUACUCCCGACACAGUGGGGAUGAAGAGCAGAAUCACAGCUUUGUCCCCCUGCCCUGUCUCACUGCAGCUGCACAGGGAGCUCCUCUAAUCAUUUCUUCUAGAUUUUCUUGCAAGAACAGCUCCGCACUGUCCUACAGAGCCUCGUGUGUUACACAGCAACCACUUCAGUAGUUGCCUUCUAACGUACUAAGUAUUUUGCUAUUGCUACUCUGCUGCUCCUUCUGCUUUCUUCUAUUCCUUUUACCUUCUUUCUUUUUUAUACAGUUUCCCAUAUUUCUACUAUUUUAUCCUUGUUUCAUUUCUGUGUCGGGUUUUUUUUGUGUGGGUAUGUGUUGGAUUUUUCUUCUUUUUUGUAUUUUUUAUGCUUUUUCCCCACAAGAAAAGAGAUCUGUUCCACUCCAGCCCAAUUUCAGUCUCAUGAUGGUGAGCUGGAGAUACGGCAGAAAGCAUUGGCAUUGCUCCUGUCUGGCUAUGCAGGGAGAGGACUAGGGCUUUGCUGCUGUGUGGAUUUCCCAGAAGUAAUACUGGAGCUGGUCCAACAAUUUACAGUAAAAGGACUGCAGUUCUAA